GACGAACGCUGGCGGCGUGCUUAACACAUGCAAGUCGAACGGAAAGGCCCUUCUUUUGUGGUGUUCUCGAGUGGCGCGGGUGUGAGUAACACGUGAGUCCCCUGCCCUUGACUUUGGGAUAACUUCAGGACACGGGGGCUAAUACCGGAUAUGCUCUCCUGCUGCAUGGUGGGGGUUGAAAAGUUUCGGCGGUUGGGGAUGGACUCGCGGCUUAUCAGCUUGUUGGUGGGGUAGUGGCUUACCAAGGCUUUGACGGGUAGGCGGCCUGAGAGGGUGACCGGCCACAUUGGGACUGAGAUACGGCCCAGACUCCUACGGGAGGCAGCAGUGGGGAAUAUUGCACAAUGGGUGGAAGCCUGAUGCAGCAACGCCGUGGGCGGGAUGACGGCCUUCGGGUUGUAAACCGCUUUCGCUCAUGACGAAGCUUUGUGUGACGGUAGUGGGUAAAGAAGCACCGGCUAACUACGUG
rnacentral:rRNA from 1 species